CCUACGGGAGGCAGCAGUGGGGAAUAUUGCGCAAUGGGCGAAAGCCUGACGCAGCGACGCCGCGUGAGGGAUGAAGGUCUUCGGAUCGUAAACCUCUGUCAGCAGGGAAGAACAGUCACUGUGCUAAUCAGCAGUGAAUUGACGGUACCUGCAAAGGAAGCACCGGCUAACUCCGUGCCAGCAGCCGCGGUAAUACGGCGGGUGCGAGCGUUAAUCGGAAUUACUGGGCGUAAAGCGCUCGUAGGCGGUAUGUCAAGUCAAGGGUGAAAUCCCCGCGCUCAACGUGGGAACUGCCUUUGAAACUGGCAAACUGGAGUGUGUGAGAGGAUAGUGGAAUUCCAGGUGUAGGAGUGAAAUCCGUAGAUAUCUGGAGGAACAUCAGUGGCGAAGGCGACUAUCUGGAACAUAACUGACGCUGAGGAGCGAAAGCGUGGGUAGCAAACAGGAUUAGAUACCCGGGUAGUC
rnacentral:rRNA from 1 species